rnacentral:tRNA from 1 species
ACCCCAGAAGCCUAAUGGGUAAGGCAUUGGCCUUCUAAGCCAAAAAGUGUAGGUUUGAGUCCCACCUAGGGUA